UGAAAACAUCCUGUCAAAAUGAGAGUCAUCAAGGAUCCAGCUUGUUCUUGAAACAUUGAAGUUUGCCCUCUGCAAGUGAACGACGCCUUGUGGUGCCAUCCCAGAGAGGUUCAUAAUCACUCUCACGGUCCUUUUCCUGGACUGUGCCCAGCUGGUGGAAUCACCUCCCAAUCUCAAUCCGAACUGAGAGUUUACUCAUUUUCAAGAAACAUCUUAAGACUCAUCUUUUUCACCAGAACUUAACCAACUAAU